rnacentral:rRNA from 1 species
UACGAGGGAUCCUAGCGUUGUUCGGAAUCAUUGGGCGUAAAGGGUGUGUAGGCGGCCUUGUAAGUCAGUUGUGAAAGCCCCGGGCUCAACCCGGGAAGUGCUUCUGAUACUGCUUGGCUUGAGUAUUGGAUAGGGGAGUGGAAUUCCAGGUGUAGUGGUGAAAUACGUAGAUAUCUGGAGGAACACCGGCGGCGAAGGCGGCUCACUGGCCAUAUACUGACGCUGAAACACGAAAGCGUGGGUAGCAAACAGG